rnacentral:rRNA from 1 species
CACAAAGGGCACAUGGCGGAUGACUUGGCGUCAAGAGGCGAUGAAAGACGUUGGAACCUGCGAAAAGCUACAGGGAGCUGGUAACCAAGCUGUGAUCUGUAGAUAUCUGAAUGGGGAAACCCACCCGCAAGGGUAUCGUAUACUGAAUGCAUAGGUAUACGAGGCAAACCUGGGGAACUGAAACAUCUAAGUACCCAGAGGAAAGGAAAGCAAUAUGCGACUCCGUAAGUAGCGGCGAGCGAAAGCGGAUAGAUGUGAACCUACGAACACGAAGGAAUGCGUGACCAAAGACGGUGAAAGUCCGGUAGUAGGGUGUAGCAUCAUAGCCCUCGAUUAGGCUCGGGCUCGUGGAACCCGGGUUGAACAUGGGAGGUCCACCUUCCAAGGCUAAGUACUCCUUGACGACCGAUAGCGAAGAAGUAAAGUGAUUGAAAGUUGAAAAGCACCCCUAUUAGGGGGAUGAAAUAGUUCCUGAAACCAUGUGCCUACAAGCGGUCGGAGCCCUCAGGGGUGACGGCGUGCUUUUUGCAUAAUGAGCCCGCGAGUUAGUCUCAGUGGCGAGCCUAAGGUCUACCGGACCGGAGGCGGAGCGAAAGCGAGUCUGAAUAGGGCGACCAUAGUUAGUAGUAGUAGACGCGAAACCGUGCGAUCUACCCAUGGGCAGGUUGAAGCUGUGGUAACACAUAGUGGAGGACCGAACCCGUUGACGUUGAAAAGUCUUGGGAUGACCUGUGGGUAGGGGUGAAAGGCCAAUCAAGCUCGGAAAUAGCUCGUACUCCCCGAAAUGCAUUUAGGUGCAGCGUGUAGAUAGUUUUAUAGAGGUAGAGCUACUGAUUGGAUGCGGGGGCUUCACCGCCUACCAAUUCCUGACAAACUCCGAAUGCUAUAAAAUGUUUCUGCGCAGUGAGGGCAUGGGUGCUAAGGUCCAUGUCCGAGAGGGAAAGAACCCAGAUCACCGGCUAAGGUCCCAAAGUAUAUACUAAGUUGAUAUAACGCGGUGGAACUGCAUUGACAGCCAGGAUGUUGGCUUGGAAGCAGCCAUUCAUUUAAAGAGUGCGUAACAGCUCACUGGUCGAGCGGUUCCGCAUGGAUAAUAAUCGGGCAUAAGCAUAUCACCGAAGCUGUGACUUCUGUACUCGGUACAGAGGGGUAGGGGAGCAUUGUAGUGCCGCUGAAGGCGAUCUGUAAGGGUUGCUGGAGGAGCUACAAACGAAAAUGUAGGCAUAAGUAACGAUAAUGCGGGCGAGAAACCCGCACGCCGAAAGACCAAGGUUUCCCCAGCUAUGCUAAUCAGCUGGGGGUCAGUCGGGACCUAACGCGAACCCGAAGGGGAUAGUGGAUGGACAACAGAUUAAUAUUUCUGUACCUGCUCACAUUAAAAGUGACGGGGAUGUGGCGUUGGUGCGUACUGACGGAAUAGUACGUUGAAGGGAGCGGUGACGCCCCGAUAGUACACUGAGGCUCCGGCCAAGGUGAUAAUCCAGCUUAACAUCCUCCGAGAAAACCAAGUGAAGCAGCCCGUACCGCAAACCGACACAGGUGGUUGGGAUGAGUAUUCUAAGGCGCUCGAGAGAUUCAUGGCUAAGGAACUAGGCAAAAUAGACCCGUAACUUCGGGAGAAGGGUCGCCACGCUUCUAGCGUGGCCGCAGUGAAGAGGUCCAGGCGACUGUUUAUCAAAAACACAGGGCUCUGCAAAAUCGAAAGAUGAAGUAUAGGGCCUGACACCUGCCCGGUGCUGGAAGGUUAAGAGGAGAUGUCAUUCGCAAGGAGAAGCAUUGAAUUGAAGCCCCAGUAAACGGCGGCCGUAACAAUAACGGUCCUAAGGUAGCGAAAUUCCUUGUCGGGUAAGUUCCGACCUGCA